rnacentral:misc_RNA from 1 species
UGGGUACCAGGGCACAACAGAUAGGCACCAAAGAGGCCGUUAACUUAGCUAAAGUUUGAUGAGGACAUCUUGACCUUAAACCCUUUUGUGGUACACCAAACUGCCAAAAACGCGGAUCCAUUUCCGUUCUCUACUAAUAUGGAAAAACAUAAGGGCAUUAAAAAAUAACGUUUCAGGUGAUUGAAAGUAUGUAUUAACUUGAAGGAAUGUUGUGAGAGAGAAGGCAGAUGGAAUAAUAUUGAGUAUUCUAUUGAGUGGAUAUUAAUAUUAGAGGAUUCAGCAAAAACAGAAACAAAAUAUCUUAAAUUUUGCGAUCGAUUAUCUUCGGUUAAUUGAUUCCUGUUUGGUUCUGCCUCGAAUAAUUUAAUUCCUUACUCCACCCGACACCGAGCCGUGUUUGUUCAAAUUUCAACGUUCAAUGGUUGUGUGAGGUACAGCUUCAUAGGGAUGUAUGUUCCACCUACGUCUCCAUUGGCAAGGAUCUGGGCGACAUGGGGCUAUCUCCAGUCCAUCGGCGACUUUAAAGGGAGUCGGGAGUUGACAGCCAGAGGUGACAACUAUUAUCUGGCCUUCGAAGGGAUCAGGUACGCUAAGCCGCCGAUCGGGUACAACAGUUUCAGGGACCCGAUCAGUUUCAACUAUCAAGGCAACACGGAGCGUAAGGUGCACUGUAUGGACAUAGACUCAAACGGUAAAGUAUUCGGAGAAGAAGACUGCCUCUGCAUCAACGUCUACACCCCUUUGCCUUACGUAAAUAAAAGCUUGCCUGUGUUGAUCUGGAUCGACGGGCGCAGAUUUCAUUACGAAAGUGUCAGAGACAGCGUGUGCCAGCCUGCCCGGCUCGUGGAAAAAUGGAUGGUGGUCGUGACGGUGAACUACCGGCUAGGACCGCUCGGCUUUCUGAGCUCGGAGGGUAAGAGCAAUCCGGGAAACUACGGACUCAAAGACCAGCAGAUGGCCAUCGAAUGGGUCUUCAAGAAUAUACACAAGUUCGGAGGUGAUCCGAAGAAGAUUACAUUGGGAGGAGAAGGUGGUGGAGCCGCGCACGUCCUCUUCCAUUUAAACGGUGCUCUGUCGGGCAGGAUCAGCAAGGGAAUAGCUCUCAGUGGGUCUAGGUUCGCACCCUGGGCCAUAUCUAAAAUAGGAUGGGUGAAGCGAAAUACGAGAACGAUCAUGGUCUCGUUCUGGAGUCUAAACCACCUGGAUCGUUUUAGGACGAUGACAAGCUCGGAGAUAGUCGCCAAAGCGAACAAACUAAACAACCAUUGGCUGGUCUAUCGCGCCAUCUGGUUGGAGAAGAUCUUGUAUCCUUUCAUACCGGUCGUGGACGGUGCGGUUAUCAAGGACGACCCUUGGAAAAAGGUGGGAACGCAGGGAAACUUUUCCCUCCUUCUCGGUAUUAAGGACAAAGAAGAGUCUUUCAUCGAUUCAUUCCUCAAGAAAGAGAAAAAAAUUGGGUCACUAGUGUCGUCGAUCUUUUGGGACGACUUCAACUACGAGUUGAUCGUAGGGAAGGCGAACAAUCUUAUAUCGGACGACAGCCAUGGCAGAGGCCAAAUUCCAUAGAGGUCCUUUUGAGGCGUUCAUGUACCAGGACCUACGAGGUACUCCCUCUCAGAACGAAACGAUGAAAAACCUGUCAGACCUGAUAGCCAGAUUCGUCUACGGGAACCCGUCCGAGCUUAAAUCGUACUCGGAGGACAAGCGUUUAUUCAAAAUCACAGCCGCUCUCCACAACCCAAGACUCUUCAAGGAAAUGGACGAACCAAUGUCGAAGAGGAUGCAGACGUGGAAGUCGUUAAAUAUGUUACCGCCGCAC